GAGAAGUCCUUCCGGCUUUGCAGAAAUCUCCCAGGCAACGCAAUGUGGCUGCUGGUGGUUGGAAGCCAGAUGGGCGCACUCAGAGAAGGCUUGAGGAAUAACACAUUGGCUGCAUUUUUGAACAGAGCUAAAGUUCGAAAGUCUGAUGCUUAACAAAGCAGGUUCCUGUCCUUCAUAGCUGUGGGUUUACAAGAAAUUCACCAGCAUUUUCUUCCAUUUCCACCCAGCCCUCAUUGCACACACAGCUCUGGAGUGGAAGGACAGCAGGACCUUACAGCAUGUGGAGUCCAAAAUACUUGUGCUUUCAAGAUGACUUCUUCAAAGGUUUCCAGUAAAUCAGCUAUUUUUCCACAAGCAACUUGGGUUCUAUGCCAGUACUGUUAUCUGUCAAGUGUAUGGUUACACUUUCUUUCUUUUUUCUUUUUUUGAGAAAGAGACCAGGGUGGGUGGUGAGUGGAAGGGCAGAGGGAGAGAGAGAAUUCUAAGCAAGCUCCAUGCCCGGCGUGGAGCCUGGCAUGGGGCUCCAUCUCACAACCCUGAGAUCAUCACCUGAACUGAAAUCAAGAGUGGGACGCUUAAGUGACUGAGCCACCCAAGUGCCCCUGAUUCCGCUUAUUUUGAUCAAGCAGCCUUUCUAACAUGUCAUAGAUGCUAUGCCAUUCGUUUGAGCAUUUGGA